UAUACAUUUUUCUUCUUCUGGAGAACAAGAAGAAAAAAUCUUGCAUAAAACCAAUUCUUUCUCCAUAGAUAUUAAAUAUUUUUUUAUUGCUGUGUAAAGUACAUUAACUUUCAAUAUAAAUAACAAACAUCAUUCUAAUUGUUUACACUGGUAUGUAGGAUCUCAUAUUUUUUGUCUUUUAAAGUGUUUUGAAUUUAUUUGCAGCUGAGCAUUUUUUCAACUUCUUGUCCACAUUGAAUUCUGAAAUUCACAUUAAUUUUAAAGUAGUACCAAACUUCCUUGUGUUAUUCCUAUCACUUGAUCUUAAGACAAAGAACUUUUGUUAGUUAAUUGGCAACAACCUCUUUCUAGCUUCAAAUAUAACAAAUAGAAUUUUGAAAUCCUAUCUAAGGAAUCUUGUUCCUUAGUUUCAAGAUUUUUAUUGAAUAAACAAUUUGCAUGUUCUUUAACACUCACUUUAUAUAAAGGUUUCGUUUGCAUUACGAACAAAUGCUUAAUGUUGGUUUAAUAACCAACAACACAUUUAUAAAAAAAUAAAACAUUGUGUUUUGGAUGGAUUCUAGAGCAGUCUGUGAAAUACAAGAAUCUUUGUGAAUAGCUAUCUAAAGUCUUUUUUAUUAUUAUUUUUAUUGACGCUACAUCAGCCUCUGUCUUCAGCAAUGUUUUCAUGCUAAUCUUGUUGGACCAAAGGGCUCGCCUCCAGGAUGGAUGGUUUUUUUACUCACACUUCUGUCUGGUUGGAAAGUUUUCUUGUUUUUCUGCAGCCUUGCAGUUCAUUCCUGCAGAUCUCCAAUUCCCCACCUGGCUAACUCAUUCAUUAGCAUCUUGGCAGUUGUUCUGUGGCCUUUUGAUACUUUUCUCUCUAGUUUUAUAUCUAGGGUCUUCAGAUCUCUGCCAGGUUUACUUUGUAACAGGUCUCCAUGGUGCUGCUUGAUGAUCCUUCUGAUUCCACUUCAUCUGUAGAGGUCAUGGUGGAGGUCACGGUUACUCUCAGCCCCGCCCAUCCACAGCUUGUCCAUCGUUAGUGGUCUCCAGGACUAUCUUCCACCCUCAUCUAUUGGACUGGACAUCGGCAUGAUUGUGAGAGUCCCAGCAGAGAGGAAAUGCAAUUAUGAGUCCAAAUAACAUGUGAACAUUCGGAGCCUCUGAAAAAGAGGCAGCAGUCCUUCAACCCCAGAUUAGGAAGGAGGUCGUAAUCAUAACCAUCCGUUCAAUAUCCUGCCAAAGGAAGAGGAGGGUGGCAGCCAGGCAGACUGCUGCACAAUAGACCCGACUCUUCAUCAGUGCCUUGGGCUCAACAUCUCCAAAUCCUUCAGAAGACCAUUUACUCUUACAGAAACCCACACUGGUUACCCCCAUAAAGAGACUGCCACUUUAAGACAAAGAAAAACUAAUUCCUAAUACUGAAUAAUUGUGAUUCAGGCCAUUUGGUGCCGUUAUCUAUAAUCUAAAAUCAAUCAUAUUC